CCUACGGGUGGCUGCAGUGGGGGAUAUUGCACAAUGGGGGGAACCCUGAUGCAGCGACGCCGCGUGGGUGAAGAAGCGCCUCGGCGCGUAAACCACUGUCCCCAGGGACGAAGAUGACGGUACCUGGGGAGGAAGCUCCGGCUAACUACGUGCCAGCAGCCGCGGUAAUACGUAGGGAGCGAGCGUUGUCCGGAAUUACUGGGUGUAAAGGGAGCGUAGGCGGGACUGCAAGUUGGGUGUCAAAUCUACCGGCUCAACCGGUAGCCGCACUCAAAACUGCAGUUCUUGAGUGAAGUAGAGGCAGGCGGAAGUCCUAGUGUAGCGGUGAAAUGCGUAGAUAUUAGGAGGAACACCAGUGGCGAAGGCGGCCUGCUGGGCUUUUACUGACGCUGAGGCUCGAAAGUGUGGGGAGCAAACAGGAUUAGAUACCCGGGUAGUC
rnacentral:rRNA from 1 species